CCUACGGGAGGCAGCAGUGAGGAAUAUUGGUCAAUGGACGAGAGUCUGAACCAGCCAAGUAGCGUGAAGGAUGACUGCCCUAUGGGUUGUAAACUUCUUUUAUAUGGGAAUAAAACAGGGUAUGCAUACCCUCUAGUAUGUACCAUAUGAAUAAGGAUCGGCUAACUCCGUGCCAGGAGCCGCGGUAAUACGGAGGAUCCGAGCGUUAUCCGGAUUUAUUGGGUUUAAAGGGAGCGUAGGUGGAUUGUUAAGUCAGUUGUGAAAGUUUGCGGCUCAACCGUAAAAUUGCAGUUGAAACUGGCAGUCUUGAGUACAGUAGAGGUGGGCGGAAUUCGUGGUGUAGCGGUGAAAUGCUUAGAUAUCACGAAGAACUCCGAUUGCGAAGGCAGCUCACUGGACUGCAACUGACACUGAUGCUCGAAAGUGUGGGUAUCAAACAGGAUUAGAUACCCGAGUAGUC
rnacentral:rRNA from 1 species